rnacentral:misc_RNA from 1 species
GAUGAAGAACGCAGCGAAAUGCGAUAAGUAGUGUGAAUUGCAGAAUUCAGUGAAUCAUCGAGUCUUUGAACGCACAUUGCGCCCUUUGGUAUUCCUUAGGGCAUGCCUGUUCGAGCGUCAUUUAAACCUUCAAGCUCAGCUUGGUGUUGGGUGACUGUCCGCUUCACCGGGACUCGCCUCAAAAUUAUUGGCGGCCGGUACAUUGGCUUCGAGCGCAGCAGAAACGCGAACUCGGGCCCGUCGUAUUGGCUCCCAGAAGCUAUCUUCACAAUUUUGACCUCGGAUCAGGUAGGGAUACCCGCUGAACUUAAGCAUAUCAAUAAGCGGAGGA